rnacentral:rRNA from 1 species
AACAAUAAUGCAUACGGUGGAUGCCUUGGUCGAAAGUACCGAUGAAGGACGUAACAAGCUGCGAUAAGCUUUGGGGAGCUGCUAAUAAGCUUUGAUCCAGAGAUUUCCGAAUAAAGUAAUUACCCCGCCUCGGCGGGGGAUCCCUACAUGAAUACAUAGUGUCGGGAGGGGUACGCGCCGAACUGAAACAUCUAAGUAAGCGCAGGAAAAUAAAUCAACAGAGAUUCCCCCAGUAGCGGCGAGCGAAAAGGGAGGAGCCCAAACCCUUCGAGUAAUCGAAGGGGGUUGUAGGAAUCCAAUAUCUGACCUUUAAUGGUAGCUAAAUACACUGGAAAGUGUAACCAAAGAGAGUGAGAGUCUCGUAAGCGAAACCAAAAAAGGCGGUAGGAUCACCUGAGUAGCACAGGACACGUGUAAUCCUGUGUGAAUCCAGCAAGACCACUUGCUAAGGCUAAAUAUACUUUCGGACCGAUAGUGAACUAGUACCGCGAGGGAAAGGUGAAAAGAAGAGCGAAACGCUCAGUGAAAUAGUACCUGAAACCGUAUGUUGACAAGCAGUGGAAGUGUGCGUUGCGCAUAGGAUAUAAGGAGAAGGAUAGAAGUGAUCAGUCAAAAUUGACUAAUCAUUACUUCCUAUGAUCCUUCUAUCUUGCGCGCAGCGCAUACGACCGCGUGCCUAUUGAAGAAUGAACCGGUGAGUUACCGCAUCCCUUUUGCUUAAGCCAUUUUGUGGCGGAAGCGUAGUGAAAGCGAGGGUUAAUAGCCCGAUUUAAAGGAUGCGAUAGACCCGAAACCGAGUGAGCUAUCCAUGUCCAGGGUGAACUCCGACGAAAGUCGGAGGGAGGCCCGAACCCGUUGUUGUAUCAAUAACUUGGGAUGAGAUGUGGUUAGAGGUGAUAUGCCUAACGAACUCGGAGAUAGCUGGUUCUCCUNNNNNNNNNNNNNNNNNCUCCUCGAAAUAUAUCUAGGUAUAGCCUGAAAGGUAAGCACAGGGGUAGAGCACUGGAUCGAUUUUUCAGCGUAAGCUGGAAGAUUGAAUCAAACUCCGAAUACUGUGCCAAUUACUUUCAGAGUCAGUCCGAUCCGGCUAAGCGGAGCGGGCCUGAGGGAAACAUCCCAGACCAACAGCUAAGGUCCCUAAAUGCAAGUUAAGUGUUAAAGGAAGUCAUAUUCCUUAGACAGCCAGGAAGUUGGCUUAGAAGCAGCCAUCUUUUAAAGAUAGCGUAACAGCUCGCUGGUCUAGUCACGGAGUGUGGCACCGACAAUGAAUCGGGGCUAAACUUGCUACCGAAGCUUUGGGUCUUGUGCUUCGCACAGAGGAUAUUAGGAAGAAGGAUAGUAGUAACUAGUCUUUUUGAUUAAUCACUGCUUCCUGUUAUCCUACUAUCUUUUGUGUGGAGCACGAGGCGGUAGAGGAGCGUUCUAUACGGAGUGAAUAGUUGUCGUAAGGCGACUUGGACUGUAUAGAAGUGAGAAUGCCGGUAUGAGUAGCGAAUUUACGUGAGAAACGUAAUCGCCGAAUGCCCAAGGUUUCCCACGCAAUGUUAAUCAGCGUGGGGUUAAUCGGUCCUAAGGUCAGUCCUCCUUUUGGAGGAGUAGCCGAUGGAUUACAGGUUAAAAUUCCUGUAUUGAGGUUGUUCUGACAAGUCCUCUUGUGCUUCGCACAGAGGAUAUUAGGAAGAAGGAUAGUAGUAACUAGUCUUUUUGAUUAAUCACUGCUUCCUGUUAUCCUACUAUCUUUUGUGCGGAGUGCAAGUAAGGAGCUUUCAAGGGUGAACGAAGUGGAAUAGUCAAGUCAGGCAAUGCCUGAUUUAAAUAGCAAGCAAGUAGAAAUCGGCAAAUCCGUUUUUAUGUUUAUGUGAGCUAUGAUGACGUAAGUUGACGAUUUUCUGUUUCCAGGAAAAGACUCGUGUAAGAGAACAAUUUUAACCGUACCGUAAACCGACACAGGUGGGCGAGUUGAGUAUACAAAGGCGAUCGGGAG